UGUCUAUUUAUGGGACAAUGAGUGAACCAUCACACCACCUUCAGGACAAUGAGCUGCUGUGUGGAGUUACCAGCUGAAAGUAACAAGAAAAUUACCGAAAUGAUGUUCUUGUGCACAGUCAUCUUCUAUACCAUAGACCUAGAAUAACUUUAUCACUCAAAACUGAGGAAGAUGCAAUCGGGGAAAAUAUUCCAUGAGGGCACUUUGAUUUUUCUUUACAACACACUACCAAAUUACGUGACGCGCCCAUCGCGCAGGAAGCUUCUCGCAGGCUGUGGAGAGCAGCCUGCCUGCUUUGAGAAGAGUAGAUCUAUCAGGAUCCAGAGUCGGGCUCUGAAAAAGCUGUCAUGUCACGUCUCUAAAACAGCCUCUGAUUUAAUGUACAAGAUGUCAAGAAGUAAAGGACAAUAAAAUAAAAGCCAAAAAGGAGAACUAUUUCAAUUAAGAGGCAUUUCUGUACCAAUUCUUGGAAAUCUAGUAAAAUAAAA